AUUGAACGCUGGCGGCAGGCUUAACACAUGCAAGUCGAGCGAGCGGCGGACGGGUGAGUAAUGUCUGGUAAACUGCCUGAUGGAGGGGGAUAACUACUGGAAACGGUAGCUACUACCGCAUACCAUCAGAUGUGCCCAGAUGGGAUUAGCUAGUAGGUGGGGUAAUGGCUCACCUAGGCGACGAGCCCUAGCGGGUCUGAGAGGAUGACGAGCCACAGUGGAACUGAGAAACGGGCCAGACUCCUACGGUGGGCAGCAGGGGGGAAUAUGGGACAAUGGGCGAAAGCCGGAUGCAGCCAUGCCGCGUGGGUGAAGAAGGCUUUCGGGUUGUAAAGCACUUUCAGCGAGGAGGCGUUACUCGCAGAAGAAGCACCGGCUAACUCCGUGCCAGCAGCCGCGGUAAUUC
rnacentral:rRNA from 1 species